CCUACGGGGGGCAGCAGUGAGGAAUAUUGGUCAAUGGACGAGAGUCUGAACCAGCCAAGUAGCGUGAAGGAUGACUGCCCUAUGGGUUGUAAACUUCUUUUAUAUGGGAAUAAAAUGUUCCACGUGUGGGAUUUUGUAUGUACCAUAUGAAUAAGGAUCGGCUAACUCCGUGCCAGCAGCCGCGGUAAUACGGAGGAUCCGAGCGUUAUCCGGAUUUAUUGGGUUUAAAGGGAGCGUAGGUGGAUUGUUAAGUCAGUUGUGAAAGUUUGCGGCUCAACCGUAAAAUUGCAGUUGAAACUGGCAGUCUUGAGUACAGUAGAGGUGGGCGGAAUUCGUGGUGUAGCGGUGAAAUGCUUAGAUAUCACGAAGAACUCCUAUUGCGAAGGCAGCUUACUGGACUGCAACUGACACUGAGGCUCGAAAGUGUGGGUAUCAAACAGGAUUAGAUACCCCAGUAGUC
rnacentral:rRNA from 1 species